rnacentral:lncRNA from 10 species
CUAGGUAGAAGAAGAGAUUUGUGAUGAUUGGGAAGUUGAACUGGUGGAGGUUCUGGAGUGCUGGCAAUAUUCUAGUUCUUGACCUGGGGGAUAGUUACACAGGUGCUCUUCAGAAUGAUUAGUUGAGUUGUACAUUUGUACUUUGUGUACUUUUUGUUAUUAUUUUGAACUGCUGUGCUCCUUCCCCCCAAUUAAUAUAUUGAAGUCCUAACCCCUGAUGUGUCUGACUAUAUUUGCAGAUAGGACCUUUAAGGAGAUAAUUAAGAAUAAAUGAGAUCAUAUGGGUGAGACCCUGAAGUGAAAUCUGAUUAAGACUGGAGUACUUUUAAGAGGAAGAAAUAUCAGAGCUUCACUUCCUCUUUGCUUCUCUUACCCUGUCAUACACAAGAGAAGGCCAUGUGAGGACAUGGCAAGAAAGCAGCUUUCUGCAACCCAGGAAGAGAGCCCACACUAGAAACCAACCCUGAUGACACUGUGAUCUUGAAUUUGUGGCCUCCAGAACUAGACAAGAGCUCACUCACUGGAGAGCAGUGGCAUGAUCACAGGUCACCGCAUCCUGG